rnacentral:rRNA from 1 species
CGGACGGGUGAGUAACGCGUGAGAAUCUGCCCUCAGGAGGGGGAUAACGGCUGGAAACGGCCGCUAAUACCCCAUAUGCCGAGAGGUGAAAUGAAUUUCGCCUGAGGAUGAGCUCGCGUCUGAUUAGCUAGUUGGUGAGGUAAGAGCCCACCAAGGCGACGAUCAGUAGCUGGUCUGAGAGGAUGAUCAGCCACACUGGGACUGAGACACGGCCCAGACUCCUACGGGAGGCAGCAGUGGGGAAUUUUCCGCAAUGGGCGAAAGCCUGACGGAGCAAGACCGCGUGGGGGAGGAAGGUUCUUGGAUUGUCAACCCCUUUUCUCAGGGAAGAACACAAUGACGGUACCUGAGGAAAAAGCAUCGGCUAACUCCGUGCCAGCAGCCGCGGUAAUACGGGGGAUGCAAGCGUUAUCCGGAAUGAUUGGGCGUAAAGAGUCCGUAGGUAGUCAUCCAAGUCUGCUGUUAAAGAGCGAGGCUUAACCUCGUAAAGGCAGUGGAAACUGGAAGACUAGAGUGUAGUAGGGGCAGAGGGAAUUCCUGGUGUAGCGGUGAAAUGCGUAGAGAUCAGGAAGAACACCGGUGGCGAAGGCGCUCUGCUGGGCUAUAACUGACACUGAGGGACGAAAGCUAGGGGAGCGAAUGGGAUUAGAUACCCCAGUAGUC